UGGCUAAGGGUCCUGGAAUGCCUACUGCAC
rnacentral:piRNA from 1 species